AGGAUGAACGCUAGCGGCGUGCCUAACACAUGCAAGUCGAACGUCCUGUCUCGCAAGAGGCAGGGAGUGGCGGACGGGUGAGUACCACGUGGGUCAUCUACCGUGAGGUGAGGAAUACCGGCGAGAAAUCGCCGACAAGACCGCAUAGGCUCGAUGCAAGUCGAGCAAAGCUCUCUCGAGAGAGGGAGCGCCACACGAGGAGCCUGCGCCCGAUUAGCUAGCUGGUGGAGUAAUGGUUCACCAGGGCGACGAUCGGUAGCUGGUCUGAGAGGACGAUCAGCCACACUGGGAUUGAGAACGGCCCAGACUCCUACGGGGGGCAGCAGUGAGGAAUUUCGUCAAUGGGGGCAACCCUGAACGAGCAACGCCGCGUGCAGGAAGAAGGUUUUCGGAUCGUAAACUGCUUUUCGUCGGGGAAGAGAACGGACGGUACCCGAGGAAUCGAGCCCCGGCUAACUACGUGCCAGCAGCCGCGGU
rnacentral:rRNA from 1 species